rnacentral:misc_RNA from 1 species
UCUCCGUAGGUGAACCUGCGGAGGGAUCAUUACAGAGUUCAUGCCCUACCGGGUAGAUCUCCCACCCUAUGUUAUUAUUACUUUGUUGCUUUGGCGGGCCGUUAGGCUCCGGCCCGACUACCGGCCCCGGCUGGUAAGUGCCCGCCAGAGGACCCAAAACCCUGAAUAUUAGUGUCGUCCGAGUACUAUAUAAUAGUUAAAACUUUCAACAACGGAUCUCUUGGUUCUG